rnacentral:rRNA from 1 species
AUUGAACGCUGGCGGCAGGCCUAACACAUGCAAGUCGAACGAGUGGCGGACGGGUGAGUAAUGUCUGGGAAACUGCCUGAUGGAGGGGGAUAACUACUGGAAACGGUAGCUAAUACCGCAUACCAUCGGAUGUGCCCAGAUGGGAUUAGCUAGUAGGUGGGGUAACUGCUCACCUAGGCGACGAUCCCUAGCUGGUCUGAGAGGCGGACCAGCCACACUGGAACUGAGACACGGUCCAGACUCCUCCGGGAGGUAGCAGUGGGGAAUAUGGCACAAGUGGCGCAAGCCUGAUGCAGCCAUUCCGCGUGUAUGAAGAAGGCCUUCGGGUUGGAAAGUACUUUCAGCGGGGAGGCGUUACCCGCAGAAGAAGCACCGGCUAACUACGUGCCAGCAGCCGCGGUAAUUC